GGGGGUAUUCCCCCUCUAUCCUGGAGAAUAAAGUUGCUGUGAAACCUCUUAUGGCUGCAAGGAAUUCAGUUACAGAGUUUAUGACUCCCAGAGGCAAGAUGUUUGGAGGCAGCCUGGGAGGAGGCUCACAGGACUUCUGCCAGAAGAGGAGUAUUUACAGUGAACCUGCCUGGGGGAGUAAAAGGAUCAGAAAUUGUGAUCCUCAGGGAAGGCUGAAGAUCGAAGCUCCUGUGGGCUGGGUGAGGAAGCAAAAAAGGUUAGUGACCCGACAGAAACUGCAGGAAAUGGUAGGAUUAGGAUAAGCCAUUACCAGAGUAGGUAUGUCUUAACUCGGGUGGGGUACAAGGUUGGAUAUCAGCAUCCCAUUUACUUCAAAUCAGGAAACAGAGACUACAGAAAAAGCCACCGGCCCAGCCCCAUAGCCCAGGGCAGAAGUGCCAGGAUUCAAGUUCAGAUCUGCCUCCCUCCAAUGCCCCUGUUGUUUCCACCUCAUCAUGCUGACUCUGUGAAGGCUGACACUGCAGAAAUAAAAGUCACAAGGUGG
rnacentral:lncRNA from 1 species